rnacentral:ncRNA from 1 species
AGUUAGGGGAUCGAAGACGAUUGACCAGGGGUAUUUGUCGUCCACAGGUGCUGCAACCGACCUAGCCGGGAGCCAUCCGUCGCGCACAUCACCACUGCUGGCUCCUUCGGGUACCACAGCCAAGCUCCUCGCCGAGGCCGUCUACAAGACUCAACGUUAGAUGGCGCGCGACGUUUCUAAUAGAGUCGAGUCCCGCUCGUCACGGGUACCGUCGUAGU